UUUCCUAGGGUGAACCUGCGGAAGGAUCAUUA
rnacentral:rRNA from 1 species